rnacentral:rRNA from 1 species
CACGUAGGGUGCGAGCGUUGUCCGGAAUUAUUGGGCGUAAAGAGCUCGUAGGCGGUGUGUCGCGUCGGCCGUGAAAACCUGCAGCUUAACUGUGGGCGUGCGGUCGAUACGGGCAUCACUGGAGUUCGGCAGGGGAGACUGGAAUUCCUGGCGUAGCGGUGAAAUGCGCAGAUAUCAGGAGGAACACCGGUGGCGAAGGCGGGUCUCUGGGCCGAUACUGACGCUGAGGAGCGAAAGCGUGGGGAGCAAACAGG